rnacentral:lncRNA from 1 species
UUUAGUCAGUGGAUCUGCCAAUAUAUCAGUACCAGACAAAAAUGCAAGCCGAACAGUUUUCAGCCUAUUUAUUACAUCUCUAAUAUAAUGAUACUUUCCCUCAAUAUGUCUAGCCCUGCUAUGAAACUUGGGAUCCUUGGAAAGUUUAAUCGCAGCUUGAUUAUCACAAUAAACAGUGACCGGAUCGGACGCAUUUUCAACUAUCUCUAGAGAAACCAGAAAGUUCCUCAACCAAACGCCAUCUUUUACAGCUUCAUUCGCAGCAAUGUACUCUGCUUCCAUAGAAGACUGCGCCACAGAAGUUUGUUUCUUGCUCUUCCAAGAGAUAGCACCUCCAGCCAAAGUAAAUAGACAACCCGACGUCGACUUCCUUUCAUCAAGGUCUCCCUGCCAGUCAGCAUCAGUAUAUCCCUGCAGCUGAAGAUUAUCACCAUUAAAGCAAAGAGAAAAGUCCAUCGUUCCUUUUAUAUAUCGCAUAGCAUAUUUUAUUUGCUUCCAAUGAGCUUCCCCAGGAUUUUUCUAAAAUCUGCUCAACAUUCCAACGGUGUGACACAAAUCUGGUCUUGUAAACAACAUUGCAUACAUAAGAGACCCCAGAGCAGAAGCAUAAGGUAUAUUUUUCAUUUCCCUUAUUUCCUUAGGAGUUUUAGGACAUUGUUCCUCACUAAGUUUAGUUCCUUUUAUCAUUGGUACAUUUGCAGGUUUGCAAUCUUCCAUAGAAAAUCGUUUCAAAACAGUUUUGAGAUAAGUUUUUUGAGACAGCCCCAAAACUUUCCUUUUCCGAUCCCUAUGUAUUUCCACCCCCAAAACAUAAGAGGCUUCCCCCAAAUCUUUCAUAUCAAAAGUAGAUGAUAACCAAGAUUUCACUUCCAUGAAGGCUCCCUUAUGGUUUGAAGCAAUUAAAAUGUCAUCGACAUACAAUGAUAAUAAUGCAAAGUUUCCUCCCACUAUUUUGAAAUAAAUACAGUGAUCUCCUUCCAUCAUAGAGAAACCAUAUGAUGUGAUUGCAGCAUCAAAUAAGGUAUUCCAUUGCCUAGAAGCCUGCCUCAAACCAUAGAUUGAUCUUUUUAACUUACAUACUUUAUUCCGAUUUCCUUUUUCCACAAAACCAUCUGGUUGUGUCAUAUAAAUUUCCUCUUUUAAAUAACCAUUUAAAAAAGCAGAUUUGACAUCCAUUUGAUGGAGAUCAAGAUCAAAAUAAGCAGUUAAGGCACAUAAGAUGCGAAUAGAAGUGAACUUUGCAACAGGAGAAAAUGUUUCCACAAAGUCUACUCCUUCCUUUUGUGUAUAUCCCUUAGCAACUAAUCGAGCUUUAUAUUUUUCCACACCUCCUGAAGCAUUGAGUUUCCUUUUGAAUAUCCAUUUAGAUCCUAUGGCCUGACGGUUUUGGGGUAAAUCAACAAGUUCCCAAACACCAUUUCUUUCCAUGGAGUUUAGUUCUUCCCGCAUAGCUUCCAACCAUAGUCCAGAUUCCUCACAAUCAAUUGCUUGUUUGUAAGUUUUAGGUUCUUCCUCUAAAGACACUUCCCGCAUAGUUUUAGUGUACUUCCCCUAGAAACACAAAAUAAUCAUCUAAAUAAGAUGGUGUCUGUGUGUUCCUCCCACUUCUUCUAGGCAUACUAGUUGAGGGAGUUUCUUCCAUAUUUAUGUCAGGGAUUUGGCUUGAAAGAUUAUCGGUAGAGUCAUUUACUACUUCCUCGGAUUCAGAACAAUUGUCAUUUCCGGCUAUAUUCCUCACAAUGGAGUGGUUUUCAGCAACUAAACUGUCCAUAGCAUCAAUAUCGGAAAUAUCUUCAAUAUAAUAGAGGCCUUCUACGCGGUUCCCUGAUUGUAUUAAUUUUCCUUUUAGCAAUAUUUUAACCUUCCCAUUGCUAAAGUUAACAUCAAAGCCUGCAGAUUCUAGUCUAGAUACCGAUAUGAGAUUUUUCCUCAUAUCUGGAGCAAAUACAGUAUUCUUAAGGACUAAUAUUCCUCCACUUGGGAGUUUUAGAUUAUAGUCCCCAAUUCCUAGUAUAUCUGCCUUUGAUGUUGUUCCUAGAUAAAUAUAUCUAGUUCCCUUUUGUAUUGGUUUAAAUGAACAGAAGGAAUUCCUAUCUCUUGCAAUGUGUGAGGUGGAGCCAGAAUCAACCACCCAACUAUUUGACAAGGAAGUUGUAAAUAGAGAUUCUGAACAUACAAAAACAUGUGACAUACCAUCAGGUGAAGAAUUUCCCCUUCUAUUAUCCUGAUGCUUGGACUGGUUGUUGUUAUACUUCUUAUCAU